CCUACGGGAGGCUGCAGUGAGGAAUAUUGGUCAAUGGGCGUAAGCCUGAACCAGCCAAGUCGCGUGAAGGAUGAAGGUUCUAUGGAUCGUAAACCUCUUUUGUCAGGGAAUAAAGUGUGGGACGUGUCCUAUUUUGUAUGUACCUUAUGAAUAAGGAUCGGCUAACUCCGUGCCAGCAGCCGCGGUAAUACGGAGGAUCCGAGCGUUAUCCGGAUUUAUUGGGUUUAAAGGGUGCGUAGGCGGCCUUUUAAGUCAGCGGUGAAAGUCUGGGGCUCAACCCUAGAAUUGCCGUUGAUACUGGUGGGCUUGAGUAUGUGUGAGGGAGGCGGAAUGCGGGGUGUAGCGGUGAAAUGCUUAGAUAUCACGCAGAACCCCGAUUGCGAAGGCAGCCUGCCAAGCCAUGACUGACGCUGAGGCACGAAAGCGUGGGGAUCAAACAGGAUUAGAUACCCGAGUAGUC
rnacentral:rRNA from 1 species